UGUAGUGGGGGAUAGCCCGGCGAAAGCCGGGAUUAAUACCGCAUAACGUUNUGCGGAGGAAAGCGGGGGAUCNUUNGGGACCUCGCGCUACAGGGGCGGCCGAUGGCAGAUUAGCUAGUUGGUGGGGUAAAGGCCUACCAAGGCGACGAUCUGUAGCUGGUCUGAGAGGACGACCAGCCACACUGGGACUGAGACACGGCCCAGACUCCUACGGGAGGCAGCAGUGGGGAAUUUUGGACAAUGGGCGCAAGCCUGAUCCAGCAAUGCCGCGUGUGUGAAGAAGGCCUUCGGGUUGUAAAGCACUUUUGUCCGGAAAGAAAACCUCGUGGUUAAUACCCGUGGGGGAUGACGGUACCGGNAGAAUAA
rnacentral:rRNA from 1 species